UACGUAGGGACCGAGCGUUGUCCGGAUUCAUUGGGCGUAAAGAGCUCGUAGGCGGCUGCUCAAGUCGAAUGUGAAAACUCGAGGCUCAACCUCGAGCCUGCAUUCGAUACUGGGCGGCUAGAGUCUGGUAGGGGGAUCUGGAAUUCCUGGUGUAGCGGUGGAAUGCGCAGAUAUCAGGAGGAACACCGGUGGCGAAGGCGGGAUCCUGGGCCAGUACUGACGCUGAUGCGCGAAAGCUAGGGGAGCGAACGGG
rnacentral:rRNA from 1 species